rfam:Vigna radiata var. radiata cultivar VC1973A chromosome 7, whole genome shotgun sequence
AGGAACUUGAGAUAUUGGUGCGGUUCAAUCAGAAGGCAGUGUUUUAUUAUUCAAAAGCUCUGUGUUAUUUGAUUGAGCCGUGCCAAUAUCACAACGUAAUUC